CCUACGGGAGGCAGCAGUGAGGUAUAUUGGUCAAUGGACGAGAGUCUGAACCAGCCAAGUAGCGUGAAGGAUGACGGCCCUAUGGGUUGUAAACUUCUUUUAUAAAGGAAUAAAACGAGGCACGUGUGCCUUUUUGCAUGUACUUUAUGAAUAAGGAUCGGCUAACUCCGUGCCAGCAGCCGCGGUAAUACGGAGGAUUCGAGCGUUAUCCGGAUUUAUUGGGUUUAAAGGGAGCGUAGAUGGGUUGUUAAGUCAGUUGUGAAAGUUUGAGGCUCAACCGUGAAAUUGCAAUUGAUACUGGCAGUCUUGAGUAUAGUUGAGGUAGGCGGAAUUCGUGGUGUAGCGGUGAAAUGCUUAGAUAUCACGAAGAACACCGAUUGCGAAGGCAGCUUACUAAACUGUGACUGACAUUGAGGCUCGAAAGUGUGGGUAGCAAACAGGAUUAGAUACCCCAGUAGUC
rnacentral:rRNA from 1 species